rnacentral:lncRNA from 1 species
CAGCCUCCUCUGUUUCCGCCCUGAGAGCGGGCUCUUCUGAGUCGGGGAGAAUUGGGCAUCGUCACGUGCUCUGUCUGCGCCCCGAGUGGCCUCUUCUCCUCCUCCACAGACACCUCGGGGAGGGGUCAUCCUUCAGACACGCUGAGCCUAGGCUGCCCGCCCUUCCGCAGCCCCGCCCUGGCCGGCUCCUCGCGGCCCACUAGGCCGGUUCUUCCCCACGUCAGGACCCCGCCACCCCACUCUGCCCCUCCACCCGAGGCUGCCUUAUCCUUUUGCUUUCUCUCUUAAAUCUGCUGCCCGUUACUGCUAUUCUACCCUUUGGUAGGUGUCAACAGAUGUUCACACUUUCCUUUCUUUCUGAUGGUGGUCAGGAAACCUAGCACUCCACCUAAGGCGAAGAAGCCGGGCGUUUGUCUGUUGUGAGUGAGUGACAAGGGCGGAGGAGGCGUGCCAGGCUGGCUGCAGUACCAUUCCCUGAGUCUGGCACUGCCUGAAGGGAGCCCUGCCGGUCACAUCAGACGUUCCUAAGGGGCCUGGAGUGAAAGGUGCUUGCAGGGAGCAAGUGAAAGUGGCGCCCCCACCCAGUCUGCCCAUUCCACCUCUCUUUAUACUGAUGAGAGAAGCCAAAGGGAGGCAACAAGGAAAAGAAGAGAAACUGGAAGCUGGGAUGAUUGACAGACUAGAAUGACAGGCUGCUGAAACUGAAUGAAACCCCAGAAGUUAUCAAUUCAUCCUUCACUUUUUGAGUUUUUAUUGAAGUUUGAAUGGGGAGGCACUGGCCUCGGAGCUCCUUGCUGCUGACAUCAGUUGUGCCCUUGUAGGAGACGUCCUGGUCCUGUCUGCCUCAGAGGCUUCCAUCUGCGGAUUUCCUGAGGUCGUCCCCUUACUCCUCUGCUGCAGUCUCUCUCAACAUUUCAACUGUCUGCUCCAGAAAGUUACUCUGUCACUAAGUAAAAUAAAUACAAACAAAAUAAGCAAUAAUCUACCCCCUUCCUUUCUCCUCUGGUCCCCUCUCUGUCUGCCUGUCACCCCCUCCUCAAUGAGAACGUGGAUCCCUCGUGGCAUUUCUCUGGAGGGAUGGCCCAGGCUUUCCCAGCCCAUGCACUCUCAGCCAGAUCAUUUGCCUGCGGUCCCAUGGCCGUCUCCAAAAUGUGC